GAUAACGGAAGGGUAUCAUAUGAUCCUUCGUGCAUGAAGAGGUUAAAGUUUUUGUUUGUUCAUGAGGAAAUCUGAGAAACUUGUAUCUGGAUAUUGCAAUAUUCCAUAAUUUAAUGCUUGGUUUCAACACUUGUCUCUUAUUACAAGUUCACUGUAACGUCAAUAGGUACCGAUUACUUAAAUAAAACUGUUGAAACAUUUGAGUAGGAAAUCCUCGCCUGAUAAGUUAUUAGUCUUAUUCUUAAUAUGUCUACUAAUUGUCAGUCUGAGCAUGGAGAUGUUAGUAGCGACGAUGAACAAGAAAUAAUGAGAAGGAAUUGGAAAAAAAACAUCUCAACAAUUGAAAAGACAGCAUUUAGAGAAGGAGCUACAUCUACAGAAAUCGAAUCUGAUGUGAUGUUCCAAAUGGGAUUCGAUAAUGGGUAUAAAGAUGGGUUCAAAGAUGGUUAUACAAAUGGGUCUUACAAAAGUACUAUAAUGUUAUUAAAUAAAUUUAAUUUUUUGGAAGACUGUGAAGAAAAAUGAAAUACCUAAAUGGUUAAUGACAUCAUCAAGAAUAUCGAUAUCAAAUAUUCAUCAACUCCAUAAGAACAAACUCUGGAUAAUAAUGAUGAUUGAUAUAAUGAAUAUGAAUUAUAAGCCAACUACCAUACUAUAGUUAUUGUUAUUGAAAGAAAUUGUCAAUCAAAAUACCUUUAAUAGUUUUUAGGAAAAAAAAUAACUUAUUUUUCAUUUUUAUAUUUAAUUUAAUUUAAAUCGGUAAAAAAUGUAUGUACAUAUAUGUAUGUAUAUAUCUUUCUUAAUACUACUAUAAAGACAUUCAAAUUUGAAAUUAAGAUUAAUUUUUUUAUUCAGUUUUAUUCAUAACGGUUAAAGUACAAAAUGAAUUAAUAAAAUAUCUUAAUGGUAUACAUAAUAUAUAAGAAUAAACUGAAUUAUCUUACAAA